GUAGAUAUCAUGCACCUUGGUAUGAAUUGGAAUGAUACAAAGAAGAUUAGCAUGACUUCUGCGCAAAGAUGACAUGCAUAAAUCGAGAUAUGGUCCCAAAAAAA